AUUGAACGCUGGCGGCAUGCUUUACACAUGCAAGUCGAACGGUAACAGGCCGCAAGGUGCUGACGAGUGGCGAACGGGUGAGUAAUGCAUCGGAACGUGCCCAGUCGUGGGGGAUAGCUACUCGAAAGAGUAGCUAAUACCGCAUACGAUCUAUGGAUGAAAGCGGGGGACCGUAAGGCCUCGCGCGUUUGGAGCGGCAGAUGUCAGAAUAGGUAGUUGGUGGGGUAAAGGCUCACCAAGCCAACGAUCUGUAGCUGGUCUGAGAGGACGACCAGCCACACUGGGACUGAGACACGGCCCAGACUCCUACGGGAGGCAGCAGUGGGGAAUUUUGGACAAUGGGCGCAAGCCUGAUCCAGCAAUGCCGCGUGCAGGAAGAAGGCCUUCGGGUUGUAAACUGCUUUUGUACGGAACGAAACGGCUCUGGUUAAUACCCGGGGCUAAUGACGGUACCGUAAGAAUAAGCACCGGCUAACUACGUG
rnacentral:rRNA from 1 species